ensembl:lncRNA
CAGGGACUGAGAUUGGCUGGAAAGGAGAGGAUGGGCGAGGAGAGGAUGGGAGAGGAAAGGAGAGGAGAAGAAAGAGGAGAGGAGCGGAAAUCUGAACACAGGUCACAUCUAGACAGCGUGCAAGUCAGAGGUAAAGCUAGAAAAAAAUGACAGGAGGAAAGAAUAAAGACAAAUGGGUGAUUGGGACCCAGAUGGGGAAAUGACCAACUGUUUGGUAAGGAUAGGCAAUGUGCAUAAAAAAGAUGGUUUCCCUGUGUGACUAAGAGGAUAGGGAUUAAAGAGAUAAGAGUGAAAGGGAAAGGAGGGAAAGAGGAAAGAGAAGGAGACAAAGUAAUCAGCACACAAGCGCAGAUCUAAAUGCUUAGAAAAUCACCAGGCUGAGCCAGAAGAGCCACAGCCAUACCCAAGAGGGGACCAUCAGAAAGACAGAAGCAGGCAAUUUAAGCAGCUAGCCACUGGGGUAGAAAAAAAAAUGAAAAGAAAAAAUAGAAGAUGGAAAAGGUGAGAAGCAGGAGAGGAAAAGCCCAAAGGAGACACUGGCCCAGAAACCUUUUUAACUUUCUGUAAGAAUCUUUAAGGCCCCAAACUAGGCCAGGAUUCUGACUGACAUUUCUGAGCUCACCAGCUGCUGUUUCCUUGGGAGGAUUCUGACAGGAUGGCAUAGAAAUUCAAGCCAACACCGCCAGCCCUGGAAAUAAAUAAAUAACACUCUACUAAACAUGUCAAUGGGGACAGAAGCCUGCGGGAAGAAAGCCCACAGAGAAGGAGGGACCUGCCUGCGACUCUCCCCAGGCCUGGACGAGGGACAGUGGACUCUCCAAAGUAUCUGCUCUCGAGGCUGCAUCACCUCACGAGGGAACUGCCCCCUGCUCUGGCUGGUCAAACGGAACCAAGUCCGUCUUCCUGAGAGGUUUGGUCCCCUUCAACCAGCUACAGCAGGGCUGGCAAUGCCCAGUCCUUCGAGAAACAGAAGAGACUCACCUGUGGCUGAAAUUACCUGCUAAAACUUUUCAUGUAAAAACAACUCUCAUUUGGUCAUCAUAUCUGCAUGCUCCCAAGGAAGGCAGAAAAGAGAAGCCCUAGGUUCAAAUGAGAGCAAGGUGCUCAACACACAGAUCUUUUGCACCCACAAGCAGAGCCACACGUGAACUUGACACACACAGUGAGUAAUGGCUUUCACGAUGGAGUUUGUGCAGGCCUGGCCAGCCAGGGGAAGACACUCAGACAUCGAAGGCAGGGCUGUCAGUGACCUAGGUAAAGAAAUUGACUUUAACUAUGGCACAAUUCAAUGUAACUGCAAGUCAGAAUAUGGCUAGUUCCAAGACGUGAUUCUUAAAUAGCGCACCAAGUACACCUAGGACAUAUUUGUUUCAGUUAACUUCAAAUAACCCUUUGUUUUCUCAUCUGUAAAAUAGGGACAAUGACACCUACUUCAAAGUAGCUAUAAGAUUUUUUAAAAGCUAAGAGUCAAAUAUAAGCCCUCAAGAAAUGGCAGCUGCUGUCAUUGUGCUGUUGUAAAUGGCAGUAACAUGAGGACAAGGCUUUGUCCAGGGGUAUUCAUAUCUGGAAGGGGAAGGCCAAAUUUUUUAAAAAUAGAAGUACUCAAAAAAAUAAAACUUUAUUUUAGGUUAUUUUUAUUCCAACCAUUAAUUCUACUAGCAUGCAAAAUGUGUUCCUCCUAGUCUGUCCUAUUAGAAUAUAACAAGUUUUACUAAGACCGGCUGCAUACAUGAGACGGCCAUUGCUAUCUGAAAUAUCUGAUCUGAGAAGCCUUCUUUAAUAAGUGCUCUUAUGAUCUAGUCCAUAACCACACCUCCUCCUGUAUUAGAAAGCCAUGGAGUAUGUGCCCUGUAGUCAAUCCAGAGUGGAGGUUAGAUGUGUGUGCUGGAACUAGACUGCCUGGGCUCAAAUCCCUAUUUACCAGCUGUGCUACCUUGGGCAAGUUGCUUGACCUCUCUGGACCUGUGCUUUCUCAUCAGCAAAGUGGGAACACUGAUAACAGUAUCUACCUUGUAGGGUAUUCAUGGAAAUGAAAUGAAAAUACAUGUAAAGGCCUAAAACUAGUAUUGGGUACACAAUAAGUUCUCGAGAGGUUUUAUCUUUGGCAAUGUUCCUGAAGCUAAAUUGAUGUUCAAUAAAAACUUCUUAAUAAACACUCAUCUUCCGUGUUCAUUCUAAAC